GAUGAACGCUGGCGGCGUGCCUAAUACAUGCAAGUCGAGCGAACAGACGAGGAGCUUGCUCCUCUGACGUUAGCGGCGGACGGGUGAGUAACACGUGGAUAACCUACCUAUAAGACUGGGAUAACUUCGGGAAACCGGAGCUAAUACCGGAUAAUAUAUUGAACCGCAUGGUUCAAUAGUGAAAGACGGUUUUGCUGUCACUUAUAGAUGGAUCCGCGCCGCAUUAGCUAGUUGGUAAGGUAACGGCUUACCAAGGCAACGAUGCGUAGCGGACCUGAGAGGAGGAUCAGGCACACUGGAACUGAGACACGGUCCAGACUACUACGGGAGGAAGCAGUGGGGAAUAUUGGACAAUGGGCGAAAGUCUGAUACAGCCAUGCAGCGUGUGUGAAGAAGGUCUUAGGAUUGUAAAGCACUUUAAGUUGGGAGGAAGGGCAGUAAGUUAAUAACUUGCUGGUUUGACGUUACCAACAGAAUAAGCACCGGCUAACUUCGUG
rnacentral:rRNA from 1 species